CAAAAUCCUUUAUAAACUAGAAGGUGUCAUACAUAAUUUUUUUUCCUCUGCUUUCUUCGUGUCUCCCAGUCUGGAUACACUCAGGUUUGCCCUAUGACACAUCCUGCAACUCAUUGUACUCUGAUGCCCUCAUUUAAACUACAACACAUGGCAGCCAUCAAGAACAAUGGUUUCCUCUUACCUCUUGGAUCUUUCUUCUGACUUCUCCUCGUCCUGGCUCAGGAACUCACCUCCACUCCCAGAACCACCUGUCUGGUUUCUCUGCCUCUAGGCCUGCCCUGCCAACCAGUGUGAUAUUUCUUAGAGGGAAAUCGGAUCCUGCCUCAAGUCUACAAAUGUGACACCCUCCUGCAGCUCUUCGGAUGUCAACCAAAAUGUCAUUCCACCGGAGUCUUCCCUGACCACUGGAUUUCAAGUUUUACCCUGGUUAUUUCCUUUCAUGGUCUCCCUCUGUCUCUCUCUCUCUGUCUUUAAUUUCUCUAUAAAUGUGUUGUUCUUUGUUUAUGUUAUAGAACCCAGAGUUCUAAGCCACAUCUUUGAAUUAUUCUGUCCCAUGUACAUGUGAGAUGUGAGAUAUACAUGUUAAUAAACUUAGGUUUGGGGAG